UCCAUCGGCCGGGAAUCGAACCCGGGCCGCCCGAGUGGCAGGCGAGUAUUCUACCACUGAACCACCGAUGC
rnacentral:tRNA from 1 species